rnacentral:rRNA from 1 species
CAGUCGCCGCGGUAAUACGUAGGUGGCAAGCGUUGUCCGGAAUUAUUGGGCGUAAAGGGCUCGCGGGCGGUUUCUUAAGUCUGAUGUGAAAGCCCCCGGCUCAACCGGGGAGGGUCAUUGGAAACUGGGAAACUUGAGUGCAGAAGAGGAGAGUGGAAUUCCACGUGUAGCGGUGAAAUGCGUAGAGAUGUGGAGGAACACCAGUGGCGAAGGCGACUCUCUGGUCUGUAACUGACGCUAAGGAGCGAAAGCGUGGGGAGCGAACAGGAUUAGAUACCCCAGUAGUCCCUGUCUCUUAUAC